rnacentral:rRNA from 1 species
UGGGGGAUAUUGCACAAUGGGCGAAAGCCUGAUGCAGCGACGCCGCGUGGGGGAUGAAGGCUUUCGGGUUGUAAACCUCUUUCGCUAUCGAACAAGGCCCGCUUAGGGUGGGUUGAGGGUAGGUGGAGAAGAAGCGCCGGCUAACUACGUGCCAGCAGCCGCGGUAAUACGUAGGGCGCGAGCGUUGUCCGGAAUUAUUGGGCGUAAAGGGCUUGUAGGCGGCUUGUUGCGCCUGCUGUGAAAACGCGGGGCUUAACUUCGCGCGUGCAGUGGGUACGGGCAGGCUUGAGUGUGGUAGGGGUGACUGGAAUUCCAGGUGUAGCGGUGGAAUGCGCAGAUAUCUGGAGGAACACCGCUGGCGAAGGCAGGUCACUGGGCCAUUACUGACGCUGAGGAGCGAAAGCAUGGGUAGCGAACAGG